rnacentral:misc_RNA from 1 species
CAAACCUCAAGCUUCUGCUUGGUAUUGGGCGUCGUCCGCUAGGACGUGCCAGAAACUUGUGGGCGGUGGUGCCGAUCUCCCAGCGUAGUCAAUCUAUCCGCUUCGGAGCUUUUAGGUGCCGCCCGCCGGAUAAGCUUAAAUCUAUCUAUG